GUGCUUGCUUCGGCAGCACAUAUACUAAAAUGGAACAAUACAGAGAAGAUUAGCAUGGCUCCUGCACAAAGAUGACAUGCAAAUUCAUGAAGCAUUCUAUAUUUUU